rnacentral:tRNA from 1 species
GGCACGGUGGUGCAGUGGGUAGCACUGUCGCCUCACAGCAAGAAGGUCGUGGAUUCGAAUCCCGGCCUGGGCCU